rnacentral:rRNA from 1 species
UACGUAGGGGGCUAGCGUUGUCCGGAGUCAUUGGGCGUAAAGCGCGUGUAGGCGGCCCGGUAAGUCCGCUGUGAAAGUCCAGGGCUCAACCCUGGAAUGCCGGUGGAAACUGUCGGGCUGGAGUCCGGAAGAGGCGAGUGGAAUUCCUGGUGUAGCGGUGAAAUGUGUAGAGAUCGGGAGGAACACCGGUGGCGAAGGCGGUCUUCUGGACGGUGACUGACGCUGAGGCGCGAAAGCGUGGGGAGCAAACGGG